CCUACGGGAGGCAGCAGUGAGGAAUAUUGGUCAAUGGGCGCAAGCCUGAACCAGCCAAGUCGCGUGAGGGAUGACGGUCCUAUGGAUUGUAAACCUCUUUUGUCGGGGAGCAAGGCCCGCCACGUGUGGCGGGAAGGAGAGUACCCGAAGAAAAAGCAUCGGCUAACUCCGGGCCAGCAGCCGCGGUAAUACGGAGGAUGCGAGCGUUAUCCGGAUUUAUUGGGUUUAAAGGGUGCGUAGGCGGAAGGUUAAGUCAGCGGUCAAAUGUCGGUGCUCAACACCGGCCUGCCGUUGAAACUGGUCGUCUUGAGUGAGCGAGAAGUGUGCGGAAUGCGUGGUGUAGCGGUGAAAUGCAUAGAUAUCACGCAGAACUCCGAUUGCGAAGGCAGCAUACCGGCGCUCAACUGACGCUGAGGCACGAAAGCGUGGGGAUCGAACAGGAUUAGAUACCCUGGUAGUC
rnacentral:rRNA from 1 species